GUUAAAACGGGAACUUGCGAGGUGGUGGCCCUGCACAGAUGCUGUAAUAAGAACAAGAUAGAAGAGCGGUCCCAAACGGUCAAGUGUUCCUGCUUCCCUGGGCAGGUGGCAGGCACCACACGAGCUGCUCCAUCUUGUGUGGAUGCAUCCAUAGUGGAACAGAAAUGGUGGUGUCAUAUGCAGCCGUGUCUGGAGGGAGAGGAGUGUAAAGUCCUUCCAGAUCGGAAAGGAUGGAGCUGUUCAUCGGGAAAUAAAGUGAAAACAACUAGGGUAACCCAUUAACCACACAUAAAUCAAGCAAUCCUCAAGGCUGGGUUCAUGGAGACACACGCAUAGAACCUUGACUCCUGUGGCGAUCUUGAAGAUUUUUAUACCUCUUACAAGAGGGGCUUUUAAGCCUGUUCCCAAGGGAUUCCAUGACUUGUUAUCAGCUUCCUAUUGAAACUAAGACUUUGCAAAAGUCUGAUGUGAACUUCCUGUCCUGAAGACUUCGUCAGAUGUGAACUGCUCUUGGCUCGUUAUACUUCUGAGGGAAGCGGACAGUGCUCUCCAUGAAGCUGGUGCAGAGCUGGUGUUUUGGGGGUGACACCAGAGACUGCUACCUGUAGGGUUCCUGGCUUCAGCUGUGACUGUUCUUGUUUCUGAAGCUGUCUCCCAAGUCCACUGUCCUGUCAUGGAUACGUUCCUGGGUCCUUUGUUCAUUGUCUAGUAGGACUGUACACAGCUUGGAUGAUGUUUCCUUUGCGAACUCCUCUGGCAUGGUGUAGAAUGAGACAAUUUUAUUGGUAUUCUAAUCUUGAAACUCUGAAAGCCUACAUGUUUUAACAUCUUACUCUUGCCUUUGUGAAAGGAAUGGAAGUAUUUCCCCAUUGAUAAUGGUAAUCAUUGGCAAGUCACCAUGAUCUGAAUACAUCAGUCAUAUAAGAAUGUAUAGACAUGCUGACAUGUUUCCCCAAGGCUAACCCAUGACUGCCGCUCUCUGUCAUUUAAACAGAUAGCAGUUAGGAUUGGAUUCCCAUUCCCACUGCACAGUACUCCGUACCUCCAGCACACUUUCCCAUCCAGUUCCUUUUUUUUUUAAGUGUACUUUCUUUUUAAUGUUUCCCUUUUCUUUCCUUUACAGAAAUCAUCAGUGUGUAGUCAAGUUAGUAGGUAGCCUUCCAUUUAAAAAAAAAAUGCCAGGGAUGCAUGUGCUUUUCUGACUUCUCAUCACUUAUUUUUAUUCUAGCAUUUUCUUAAACCAUCCUUUCUGUCUCAUUUUAACAUUGUCUCUUGCUCGAUUCCAAUGACUGCUUGAAUGCUUAUAUAUUUGUUCAGUCUGUGGGUAGAAAAAAAUUGUUCAUUUUCCUUGACCUCAAAGGUCUAAAAUACUUUCUUAUCAUUUUUUCCCAUUCAAAUGAUUUCUUAGGCCAGUUUUUUUUGUCCAUAUUUUCUUAGCCAUCUGAAACUUGUGGUUUUUAGUUCUUCAGGAGCGUCUUACAAAUAUUUAAAGGCCUUAAACAUUGAUUUACUUUUUUCUAAGUUGUUACAGAAUGUAUAAUUUUAUACUGCAUUUAUUUUGUUUCACUUGUGAUGUGGAAAGAGAGAAUAGUGGAUUCCAACAAGUAAUAAUACCAUGUAAACCUGUAGUUUGAAGGAAUGUAAAGGCAAGGAUUUUCCAUGUCUUAAUAAUUUCAGCUGGAUCAAAAGAUGCUUCACAGAUCAUCCUAUUAGAUGGUCCAUAAUUUUGGUAGAAGUGUGAAGGUAUUUGGACUUCUUAUACUUCUAAAACUCACUGACAAGGCCAGUUAACCUUAUGUUGGUUUCUGUGGAGGCUCACAUGUUACAGAGAAUUUGGUGUUAGUCUGUAACAGUAUUGAAAGAUUCAUACAUUAACCAGACCCUUUACUGGGAAGAACAACUGAAAGUGUAAAAUCUGUUAAAAAUUAAGUUGGAAACCUAUAUUUUUAAAUACUGAGCUGAAGCCAACUGCCUCAUGAAUACGUGGAAUGAACUGAUUCCUGCAUCCCUUUUAAUUGAGCAUAAAACUAAUUGGGUGGUUCCAAGUGGGUUGUGCAAUGGGUCAAGACUACACAGAGUCAAAAUGAAAGGAAUAACAGUUGUGCUGGAUUUUCUGUGUGGAAUAAAAUAUCAUUAAUUUCUUUGGAACAAAAUGAAAAACUAUAUCAUUUUGAACAUUAUUAAUUUAUCCUGGAUUUGUUUGAAACUAUGGGCCAUGCUUCUCAUUUUGAAAACUUUGUCAUUUAAAACAGCGCUGGAAAUUCUGUAUUAUAUAAAAGUGUAAUACAUGCGUAUCAAUAGAAAAAAUAAAUGGAAUUUCAAAUAUA